rnacentral:lncRNA from 1 species
AAAGGAGAAAAAAUACUUAGAAAAAUUCUAAGUUUUGAAGCUCAAACACGCCUACGCUCUCUGUAUUUUUCGCAGCCCCAAAAACAUCCUAUAGUGGCGCGAUCAGCUUGCAUAUGACUUCAGAAUUUAUCUUUGCACAUGAUGACGUCAGCAUGACAGAUGGGUGGACCAGCUGUUUUUGUUUUUCUUUGAUGAGGUGUCAACACACUAAUGGGCUUGAGGCCUUUUAAGUUGGCACGUGACUGUUCUUUAGGAAGAUAUAAAUAGG